rnacentral:rRNA from 1 species
AGUGAACGCUGGCGGUAGGCCUAACACAUGCAAGUCGAACGGCAGCACAGUAAGAGCUUGCUCUUACGGGUGGCGAGUGGCGUACGGGUGAGGAAUACAUCGGAAUCUACUUUUUCGUGGGGGAUAACGUAGGGAAACUUACGCUAAUACCGCAUACGACCUACGGGUGAAAGCAGGGGAUCUUCGGACCUUGCGCGGUUGAAUGAGCCGAUGUCGGAUUAGCUAGUUGGCGGGGUAAUGGCCCACCAAGGCGACGAUCCGUAGCUGGUCUGAGAGGAUGAUCAGCCGCACUGGAACUGAGACACGGACCAGAGUCCUACGGGAGGGAGCAGUGGGGAAUAUGGGACAAUGGGCGCAAGCCUGACCCAGCCAUACCGAGUGGGUGAAGAAGGCCUUCGGGUUGUAAUGCCGUUUUGUUGGGAAAGAAAAGCAGCAGGUUAAUACCCCGCUGUUCUGACGGUACCCAAAGAAUAAGCACCGGCUAACUUCGUG